UGACAGUUUAAUAAACAUAGUUUGAUGGAAGUGCCGAGUCGAAUUCUGACUUUAUUUAUAGUUACAGCAGAUUUUCGGUGUCCUUGUGUGGGUGACAGGUCCGACUGUAUUCCGAUUGGCUCCAAAACUUAUACUUGUCGGACGCAGACGAGAAGCGGAGAAAAAAUCCAUCAAUCCUUCAGGAAUCUUCAUCGUCUUCGGUUUUCCUCCGUAGAAGUCCUCAAGAAAAAAAGAUGGCCGACAAAGAAGGAAUGAGUUUGGUUGUUAAUUAUGUAGUUUUGAUCGUCCUCCUACUUAUACUAUGGGUUCUCUAUACCGGGUUGUAAAAUGAUAAUUCGUCAGUUUUUAAAGAAUGAAGAAGGACAAUCGAGCCUUUUUCAAGUACGGAUUCAAGGAAUGGAUGCAAAAAUGAGGGAGAGCCAAGAAUAGGAUUCUUGAUUUUUCGUACGGAUAUGGAAAAACCUGAACGGUUAAGAUUCUAUCGAAUUUGGAUAAAAAAAA